UUGCAAGCCUCCAGCGUGCUUGGGUCUGCAGUGACCCUGUGCAUUCCUCAGUGCUUGCAAGAACAGUUUUGAAAUGGUUUGAGGACUUGCUCUGCUCCAUCUAUGGGGCAAGGUUAUAGAAAUUUCAGAAAGUU
rnacentral:snoRNA from 1 species